AAUAGAUACCCGGGUAGUCCACGCCGUAAACGUUGGGUACUAGGUGUGGGGUCUUAUCAACGGAUUCCGUGCCGAAGCUAACGCAUUAAGUACCCCGCCUGGGGAGUACGGCCGCAAGGCUAAAACUCAAAGGAAUUGACGGGGGCCCGCACAAGCAGCGGAGCAUGUUGCUUAAUUCGAGGCAACGCGAAGAACCUUACCUGGGUUUGACAUGUAGGGAAAAGCCGUAGAGAUACGGUGUCCUUUUGGGCCCUACACAGGUGGUGCAUGGCCGUCGUCAGCUCGUGUCGUGAGAUGUUGGGUUAAGUCCCGCAACGAGCGCAACCCUUGUCCUAUGUUGCCAGCACGUAAUGGUGGGGACUCGUAGGAGGCUGCCGGGGUCAACUCGGAGGAAGUGGGGACGACGUCAAGUCAUCAUGCCCCUUAUGUCCAGGGCUGCAAACAUGCUACAAUGGCCGGUACAGAGGGCUGCGAGACCGCGAGGUUGAGCGAAUCCCACAAAGCCGGUCUCAGUUCGGAUCGGAGUCUGCAACUCGACU
rnacentral:rRNA from 1 species